AUGGCGUCGGCGUCGGCGUCUGUAGAAGAGGCCACCGAAGCAGUACCACGGGAGGGUCUGAACAAGAGGUCGCCGGAGAGAUACCACCUCGGAUCUCCGGCCACGUUCAGCGCCGCCGUUGAGCGCAUAUCUUCCGGUGCCGCGACGAUGGAUCAGUACCCAAGACAGCGCAUGCUAGCCUUGAUAGAAGAGCUCUCAGUCCAUGCUGCUCACGAACAACUCUGGAUUGGAGGAUCUGCACCCCGCAUCUGUGAAGGCGGACCAACUCAUGUUCAGCUGAAUCGUCACAUCCUGGUACUAGCACCAGGCGAUCAAGCUCGAGCCCCCGGCGGCGGCGGCCAUGUCAUCGUCGAUAUGGCUCCCCUGCUCCUGGCUACGGCGGGCUCUAUGGAAGCCGAACCCAAAGCAACCGAGAUGAGCCGAUCCGACGAGCAUCACGCGCGCUCCAUAUCGCAGACGCUGUUCUGCGCGCUCCUGCCGGCGUGCGUCACCUCGCGCGCUCUCUUCGAGCCUGCUGGUUCCGACUACGUCGGCCUGGCGAUCUACGCCGGCCUGCUGUUCGUCACGGCGGUUACGUACGCCGGCAUGUUCGCGUCCAGCAGGGCGAGCGGCGGCAAGGCCUCCCUGCGCGUCGUGGCUUGCGCCGCUAUCGCCGUUCUGACCAUUGCGGCGGGGUCGCAGCUCUCCGGGGCGGCGCACGUUGCUGCCGCUGCUUUCAUGGGUGUGGUGACGAGCUUGAUCGAGGCCAUUGCCAUGUGA
rnacentral:rRNA from 1 species